rnacentral:rRNA from 1 species
AGCGAACGCUGGCGGCAUGCUUAGCACAUGCAAGUCGCACGGGCAGUAGCAAUACUGUCAGUGGCGGACGGGUGAGUAACGCGUAGGAAUCUAUCCUUGAAUGGGGGACAACCGUGGGAAACUACGGCUAAUACCGCAUGAUGCCUGAGGGCCAAAGACGAAAGUCGUUUGAGGAGGAGCCUGCGUCUGAUUAGGUAGUUGGUGGGGUAAAGGCCUACCAAGCCUACGAUCAGUAGCUGGUCUGAGAGGAUGAUCAGCCACAUUGGGACUGAGACACGGCCCAAACUCCUACGGGAGGCAGCAGUGGGGAAUAUUGGACAAUGGGCGCAAGCCUGAUCCAGCAAUGCCGCGUGGGUGAAGAAGGUCUUCGGAUUGUAAAGCACUUUUGGCAGGGACGAUGAUGACGGUACCUGCAGAAUAAGCCCCGGCUAACUUCGUG